GACGAACGCUGGCGGCGCGCUUAACACAUGCAAGUCGAACGGAAAGGCCUGCUUUCCCUUGUGGAUUGCGGGUACUCGAGUGGCGAACGGGUGAGCAACACGUGAGUGAUCUGCCCCCAACUUGGGUAUAAGCCUGGGAAACUGGGUCUAAUUCCCGAUAGGACUGCAGGGUGGUGCCUGUGGUGGAAAACGAUUUUCUAGUGGUUGGGGAUGAGCUCGCGGCCUAUCAGCUUGUUGGUGGGGUAAUGGCCUACCAAGGCGGCGACGGGUAGCCGGCCUGAGAGGGUGGACGGUCACAUUGGGACUGAGAUACGGCCCAGACUCCUACGGGAGGCAGCAGUGGGGAAUAUUGCACAAUGGGCGGAAGCCUGAUGCAGCGACGCCGCGUGGGGGAUGACGGCCUUCGGGUUGUAAACUCCUUUCGACCGCGAGGAAGCCACCUGGUUGGAAGGGUGGUGACGGUAGUGGUAGAAGAAGCACCGGCUAACUACGUG
rnacentral:rRNA from 1 species